rnacentral:rRNA from 1 species
GACGAACGCUGGCGGCGUGCUUAACACAUGCAAGUCGAACGAAGAGCGCUGGAAGCUUGCUUCUAUCACUCUUAGUGGCGGACGGGUGAGUAACGCGUAAUCAACCUGCCCUUCAGCGGGGGACAACAGUAGGAAACGACUGCUAAUACCACAUACGAUCUAAUCUCGGCAUCGAGGAUAGAUGAAAGGUGGCCUCUACAUGUAUGCUAUCACUGAAGGAGGGGGUUGCGUCUGUUCAGCUAGUUGGAGGGGACACGUCCCUCCAAGGCGAUGAGCAGUAGCCGUUCUGAGUGGGUGAUCGUACACACUGGAACUGAGACACGGUCAUGGCUGCUGAGGGAGGCAGCAGUGGGGAAGUUGCCGCAAUGGACGAAACUCUGACGCAGCGACGCCGCGCGAGUGACGACAGCGUUGGGAUUGUAAAGAUCUGUUACUCGGGACGAAAGGCUUUCGUGCGAAAAGUGAGAAGGAUUAAGGGGAACGGUAUAGAAACCCACGCUUACCAGCGU